UAGUGGCAGACGGGUGAGUAAUGCGUAGGAAUCUACCUAGUAGUACGGAAUAGCCAUUAGAAAUGGUGGGUAAUACUGUAUAAUCCCCGAGGGGGAAAGAUUUAUCGCUAUUAGAUGAGCCUACGUUAGAUUAGCUAGUUGGUGAGGUAAUGGCUUACCAAGGCUAUGAUCUAUAGCUGGUCUGAGAGGACGAUCAGCCACACUGGAACUGAGAUACGGUCCAGACUCCUACGGGAGGCAGCAGUGGGGAAUAUUGGACAAUGGGCGAAAGCCUGAUCCAGCUAUGCCGCGUGAGUGAAGAAGGCCUUCGGGUUGUAAAACUCUUUCAAUAGGGAAGAUAAUGCCGGGUAC
rnacentral:rRNA from 1 species